GGUAGAAGAAACAAGCAUCACAUGAGUGCUGAAUUCACCUGUCGUGUUGAAGUCAAACGCAUACGCAAUAGCCAAGAGUGGUUCAGGUUGACAUGUGGCGGUGGGAAUUGCAUGAAAGGUGUGGGGCGUGAAGACAACGAUAUGUGGUGUGAUGGGUGCGAAAACCCCGUUGUCUUCCCGAGAGGAAGUUUCAGGCUAGAACUCGAGGUGUUUGACUCAAC